GAGGAUAUAACUCAGUUGGUAGAGUGCUUGCCUUGCAUGCACAAGGCCCUGGGUUCAAUCCCCAGCACCCAUU
rnacentral:tRNA from 1 species